GCAAGAUUAAAAAGAAAGUAUUUUGUCAUUGUACAGUAAACUAGUUCCCCUGACAUCACCAAAAACUUGAAGUUAUUUAGUCAAAUUUUAAAAAUGUUAUACCGUCUAAUACUUUUUUUACCUACUGUAGGUAGUAAUAUAGAUUUUCUACUGUUUAUUAAUGUAUUAAUUUUCCAUUAUUUACUUACACUUAAUGGUACCCGCUGCAGAAACUGUCUACUGGUCAAAUGAACUGGUUCAGUGGCAACUGUACCAUCCACGGUACAAAACUGUUCUUCGACGCACAGCAGAGCUGCCGCACAACCGAGUUGCACGUGCGUUGGUACACCAACGCGAACAUCUGCAAUGUCCGACAUUAUUUUUGUAAAAAUGCGACACAUAUCAAAUUUAGUAUGGUAUUAAACCUGACAAAAUAAAAAAUGCUGACAUUUGUAAAAGGAAAAGGGAAGAAGAGAAAGGCAUUAUGGAUGCGCAAUGAACAGGAGAUUGAAACGGUGAAGGAGUUUACAUAUUUGGGAGUAAAAUUAAAAAGGACUGGGCAUAUGGACAGUGCAGGAUAUGACAGGCAACACAUGCGCUGAAGUCCUGCAUGAGUGACAUGACCUAUCUACCGCGUGAACAUUAUAAAUCUAAAUUGCCAUCACGACGCAACGUAGAGCCCCUUUCUGAUCGUAGUUCAGAAUUGUAAUGUUGCCACCCCAUUUUCUGCGUAGCCUCUUUUCCUGAAUACGCUGCUCACAUCGUACUCGCUGUUGCGCUGAAACACGCUGACCGUACUCGCUCUCUGAUUGGCCCGUGUAUUUCGUUAAUAUCUCAUUAACGAGGCCACGGAGACCAUUUUCGUUAAGGAAUAAGUUACCUCAAAUUACCUCAAAUUUGGGUGUGACCGGACACUCUGUAUUGGUUGAAACAAAUCAACUCUUGUAAACUACAACAACCAGAAUUUUUACCGUCGUGGUCAAAACUAUACUACAGAUUAACACUAUUUUUAUCAAAAGAGUGAAAGGACAUCUUCCACAAUUUUAAUUCAAAAUUAUUUUAAUCAAAUAAUUAUUUUCUUAUAAUCACUAGAUUGUAGAUUUUAUGAAAAAAUAAAUAGAUUACAAGUAUUAGAGAAUAUCACAAUAUGUUAAUUUCGUUCUAAUAAAAUUGUUAAAUAACGGAAAAUGUUUCUAAUUGGCUCGUGUGCUUUACAACAGUUGCAGAAUAUUUUCAUUUUGCAUAAAAAUUCGCGCUCUAUUAAUCAUGCUUCAUCGAUAGAAAAGAUCGGUAAAAAUAGUGUUAAGAGAUCGGAUCCAGAAAAUAAACCAUCUUACUUGCAGAAAUCUGUUGAGUGGGAGGACCACCGAAUGAUUGUUGAGGUAUCACAGGUCUUUGCUUCACGAAUCCUGCGUUUUGACUAGUGCCGGCCGAAUCUUGACCAGACGGUUCAAUUUCUGAAGGUCCGACUUGAAAUUCAGCGACAGCUUGGCAACAGACUUCGUCUUGAACUCUGCAUGCUCGCCCCUAUUUAAAAAAAAAUAGGAAUUAAAUAUUAGUGACUGUCCUCUCGUAUGUAUUCUCCGCCUCAAAGGUUCUAUACCGAGUGAACAAAAAUAACUUGAUUUCUACCCAGUCAGCCAAGUCUGCUUCGACCAAAUACAUGUAAAACACUUGGUGGCGUAUUUUGUGAAGGAAAUGUGAAUUUAGUGCUAAGGCUCUACUGAAAGGGGAUUCUUCUCGGUAUUUGGUACCAGAGGCUUGGCGUUAGCAAAUCAAUGGCAAAUCUUUGCGGAACCAUUUGUAGCGAAACGUAUCGUUUGAAGAGGGAUCGUAUCGCACUCACGUGGCACGUGGCGCUAUAGGGUUUGGCCUGGAUUUGGCAUGGUGCCAAAUUCGGUGUGAAAUGCAGGAAGGGAUGGCUUGGUAUUUGACACAACAGCGUACGGUUAGAUUGAUGUCAAAUUCAGGACAAAUUGCUUACUGGGUAACUAACAUUAUUUUCCAUGUUUUUGAUAACGUACGAAAAUAAUGAUAAACCUGACAAAGUCUAUGAUUAAAAAUGGAAAAUAUUAUGAUAAAUAUUUUUCUCAGGAACAUAUUUUUCGGAAUUUUCAAGUCAGUAAUGUCUACAUUAUUUUGUAUUCAAAGUCGCGUAAAGAUCACGAUAUUAAUCUGGUUAAAAAGAAUCCGAUUAAAUCCCAUUUUAAAAAAUACAUCCAUGACAUUAAAAUCACUGAAAAUAUUGUAUGUGCUUGCUUUUACUGAAUGUCUUGUGAGUGAGGAUAUAAAUGUUUAUAUGGAUGGAUGAGAGAAUGAUAGAGAGAAUCAUAGAGGUUGGUAGCGUUGUCUGCGAUAUGUGAAGGUGAGAGUGUAUAACUAAAAGUGAAGCGUUGUAUGACAGAGUUUUCCUGAGUGUAAGCACGUGUGUUUGAGCGAAGUGUGGAAUUUGUACGGUAUAUUUAUAUUAUGAUAAAUUAGUUUAUUGCAAAA